rnacentral:rRNA from 1 species
CCUACGGGUGGCAGCAGUGAGGAAUAUUGGUCAAUGGACGCAAGUCUGAACCAGCCAUGCCGCGUGCAGGAAGACGGCUCUAUGAGUUGUAAACUGCUUUUGUACGAGGGUAAACGCAGAUACGCGUAUCUGUCUGAAAGUAUCGUACGAAUAAGGACCGGCUAACUCCGUGCCAGCAGCCGCGGUAAUACGGAGGAUUCAAGCGUUAUCCGGAUUUAUUGGGUUUAAAGGGUGCGUAGGCGGUCGGAUAAGCUAGAGGUGAAAUCCCGAGGCUCAACUUCGGAAUUGCCUCUGAUACUGUUCGGCGAGAGAGUAGUUGAGGUAGGCGGAAUGUAUGGUGUAGCGGUGAAAUGCUUAGAGAUCAUACAGAACACCGAUUGCGAAGGCAGCUUACCACGCUACUUCUGACGUUGAGGCACGAAAGCGUGGGGAGCAAACAGGAUUAGAUACCCUUGUAGUC